rnacentral:rRNA from 1 species
CCCAGACAGCCAGGAUGUUGGCUUAGAAGCAGCCAUCAUUUAAAGAAAGCGUAAUAGCUCACUGGUCGAGUCGGCCUGCGCGGAAGAUGUAACGGGGCUAAACCAUGCACCGAAGCUGCGGCAGCGACACUCAGGUGUUGUUGGGUAGGGGAGCGUUCUGUAAGCCUGUGAAGGUGUGCUGUGAGGCAUGCUGGAGGUAUCAGAAGUGCGAAUGCUGACAUAAGUAACGAUAAAGCGGGUGAAAAGCCCGCUCGCCGGAAGACCAAGGGUUCCUGUCCAACGUUAAUCGGGGCAGGGUGAGUCGACCCCUAAGGCGAGGCCGAAAGGCGUAGUCGAUGGGAAACGGGUUAAUAUUCCCGUACUUGGUGUUACUGCGAAGGGGGGACGGAGAAGGCUAUGUUGGCCGGGCGACGGUUGUCCCGGUUUAAGCGUGUAGGUGUGUGUUCCAGGUAAAUCCGGUUCACUUUAACACUGAGGCGUGACGACGAGGCACUACGGUGCUGAAGCAACAAAUGCCCUGCUUCCAGGAAAAGCCUCUAAGCAUCAGGUAACAUCAAAUCGUACCCCAAACCGACACAGGUGGUCAGGUAGAGAAUACCAAGGCGCUUGAGAGAACUCGGGUGAAGGAACUAGGCAAAAUGGUGCCGUAACUUCGGGAGAAGGCACGCUGACAUGUAGGUGAAGUGAUUUACUCAUGGAGCUGAAGUCAGUCGAAGAUACCAGCUGGCUGCAACUGUUUAUUAAAAACACAGCACUGUGCAAACACGAAAGUGGACGUAUACGGUGUGACGCCUGCCCGGUGCCGGAAGGUUAAUUGAUGGGGUCAGCGCAAGCGAAGCUCCUGAUCGAAGCCCCGGUAAACGGCGGCCGUAACUAUAACGGUCCUAAGGUAGCGAAAUUCCUUGUCGGGUAAGUUCCGACCUGCACGAAUGGCGUAAUGAUGGCCAGGCUGUCUCCACCCGAGACUCAGUGAAAUUGAACUCGCUGUGAAGAUGCAGUGUACCCGCGGCAAGACGGAAAGACCCCGUGAACCUUUACUAUAGCUUGACACUGAACAUUGAGCCUUGAUGUGUAGGAUAGGUGGGAGGCUUUGAAGUGUGGACGCCAGUCUGCAUGGAGCCGACCUUGAAAUACCACCCUUUAAUGUUUGAUGUUCUAACGUGGACCCGUAAUCCGGGUUGCGGACAGUGUCUGGUGGGUAGUUUGACUGGGGCGGUCUCCUCCUAAAGAGUAACGGAGGAGCACGAAGGUUGGCUAAUCCUGGUCGGACAUCAGGAGGUUAGUGCAAUGGCAUAAGCCAGCUUGACUGCGAGCGUGACGGCGCGAGCAGGUGCGAAAGCAGGUCAUAGUGAUCCGGUGGUUCUGAAUGGAAGGGCCAUCGCUCAACGGAUAAAAGGUACUCCGGGGAUAACAGGCUGAUACCGCCCAAGAGUUCAUAUCGACGGCGGUGUUUGGCACCUCGAUGUCGGCUCAUCACAUCCUGGGGCUGAAGUAGGUCCCAAGGGUAUGGCUGUUCGCCAUUUAAAGUGGUACGCGAGCUGGGUUUAGAACGUCGUGAGACAGUUCGGUCCCUAUCUGCCGUGGGCGCUGGAGAACUGAGGGGGGCUGCUCCUAGUACGAGAGGACCGGAGUGGACGCAUCACUGGUGUUCGGGUUGUCAUGCCAAUGGCACUGCCCGGUAGCUAAAUGCGGAAGAGAUAAGUGCUGAAAGCAUCUAAGCACGAAACUUGCCCCGAGAUGAGUUCUCCCUGAGACUUUAGGUCUCCUGAAGGAACGUUGAAGACGACGACGUUGAUAGGCCGGGUGUGUAAGCGCAGCGAUGCGUUGAGCUAACCGGUACUAAUGAACCGUGAGGCUUAACCUUACAACGCCGAAG